GAUGAACGCUGGCGGCGUGCCUAAUACAUGCAAGUCGAGCGAACGGACGAGAAGCUUGCUUCUCUGAUGUUAGCGGCGGACGGGUGAGUAACACGUGGAUAACCUACCUAUAAGACUGGGAUAACUUCGGGAAACCGUAGCUAAUACCGGAUAAUAUUUUGAACCGCAUGGUUCAAAAGUGAAAAACGGUCUUGCUGUCACUUAUAGAUGGAUCCGCGCUGCAUUAGCUAGUUGGUAAGGUAACGGCUUACCAAGGCAACGAUGCAUAGCCGACCUGAGAGGGUGAUCGGCCACAUGGGAACUGAGACACGGUCCAGACUCCUACGGGAGGCAGCAGUAGGGAAUCUUACGCAAUGGGCGAAAGCCUGACGGAGCAACGCCGCGUGAGUGAUGAAGGUCUUCGGAUCGUAAAACUCUGUUAUUAGGGAAGAACAUAUGUGUAAGUAACUGUGCACAUCUUGACGGUACCUAAUCAGAAAGCCACGGCUAACUACGUG
rnacentral:rRNA from 1 species